GUGUGCGUCACGUCCGAAUCCUCCCUUUUGAUGUCUGUUGACUGUGGUUUCAGCCUGUUUAUGCACCUACGAGUUCUCCGUCGGUUGCUUUACUAAAUGGAUCUAAUGACUGCACUCCCUUCAGCAGCGAGUUGUUUAUCCGGACUCGUGACCUGAUUGCAAACACUGGUAUAUCCUUGUUUGGGUCCUCUCUCCGUCCCUCCUUCCUUUUUGUUCUGCUCCAUUAUUGUGUUUGGGUUUCGUCUUGCCCCCCCCCUCCUUUGUGUGGGGCGAUUAAUGGUGCAACUCAGUCGCUGCUUCUGCUGUAUACUACAAGAACAUUGCCAUAUGACGUUUACGUAAAGAGACUACUUGUACUACGUGGAGGAACUACUGCUGUCGUUUUUCGGAUUCUGGGGCGAAUCGUGUUUGUUGCGAUUUGGUACCUCGGGCAGAGGAUUAUCCACAUCUGCUGGAGACGGCGUGGUGAUCACGCUGUCGGUUUUACCUCGAGUUCCGUUCUCCUCGCGAUCCGUUUGGAGCUAGCCCUUUC